AUUUUGUUUGUGAUUAGUGAGAAGACGAAGUAAACGAAGUGUUCCUUUUAUAAUCGUCUAUCCGGUACAAAGUUAGUACGCUUUUUAUAUCGAAGUUGGAUUUUUCUCCAGAUACAGAUCCAGAUCCAGAUACAGAUUUUCUCCCAACUUCGGAAGUAGUGCGCUGGAUUCGCCUAAAGAUGCGCUAAACAACACAUCAAUUAGUUUGACAGAUGAAACUUCGGAAGAAAGUUCGGUUCGGAAGUCCCGACUUCCGAAUUCUAAGGGUCUGUCUCAUUUGGAGAAUUAAACUUAAAAGUGACAGUUCGAAAAUUAAAAAAAUCACCCCGUUAUAAGAAUGGCUGGUGCUACCCAGCAAUUCCAACAGGACAUCGAUGGAAAAUGAUUCGAUAUCUGUCAAAAGUAAUCUUGCUCUGCGAGCAGGGUUAUUUGAUAAUUAUUGAAAUGUCACUUUUAAGUUUAAUUUCAGUUUAAUUAUCCAAUUGAGACAGACCCUAAGUUGAUGCUACGCCGACAAUACUGAUUCUGCGAGCAAGCAACGGCCGAUCAUUUCCCGCUGUACCGUGAAAUUGAAUUAAUGAUAAAACACUGCUGCAUGCCACCAUCACUGAUGAUUCAAUAUCGUUCGGCGACUAUCAUCGAGCUAUAUCACCAACGGGAUACAAUAAAAAAUUAAACAGGAAAAAAAAUGCGAGCAGCAUUAGUUACAGCGGCUUCAGUGAGUAUAGCCGGUUGCAUCAUUGGCGACUGAAAUCUACGUUUAUGAAUCCCGGUCUGAAUAGCAGUUAAAGGCUACCUUACACCUCGGGAAAAUUUUCCGCUGGAAUUUGAUCCCCAUGUAUUUUAAAGGGGGCCGGGAUUUUUGUUUUCCGUGCCCAA